AUUGAAUCUUUGGCCUCAUUCAAACAUUGUACAGAUUCUAUUGAUUUAGACCGUACAUCCCAACACAUAACAGUAUUAUCUCGAGAUCCAGAAACAACCAUUGAUGAUUCUUCAUUAUAUCUAAGAUUUUGUUACAGGACCUGCAUGUCCUCUUAAGCGUCGAACAGGUGUUCCAGUACUUACAUCCCAUAAAAUCAAAGAUUUAUCUAAACCACAAGACACUAUUUGACUGCUAUCGCAAGAUGCACAAACAUCCAUUACUUCGUCUCCAUGUCCUCCAUAGACUUUUAAAUUUGUAGCUUUGUAAGGAUUCCAUAACUUUAUUUUUCUAUCUGAUCCACAUGUCAAACAGUAUUCUCCGUCAACUAUAAAUUCCUUGUAUGUUAUUAUAUGAAAAACUUUUGAAUCUUAGUAAAGUAAUAUUAUUUAUAUAUUAAAAAUUUUGUUCAAAUUAUUAGUAAUACAAAUACAUACCACUGAAACGAACUGAUCUUACUGCACCUUGUUUACAAUCUAUUUCUCGUUCGAACUUAUAUUUUAUUUCUGUAGCACUCAUCUCGUA